UCUUUAAGGGAAAACAUCACACCAGGAGGAGAAGACCAUUGAGAAUGCAUCAUAUCACCGAAAAAGGCAAUAUUUACUACAAAUGUAUGGUAAAACACCGGCUCCCAGCAGUCUUAAAUCCUCCAGGAUGAACAGUGCUAGAGGUCCCACCAAGACAGAGGAACGCUGCUUACCUGUCAUUCACUGCCUCUGAACAUGUUCUUCCCAUGCUGCACUCAGGGAACUCACAGUUGUCAUAGAUUUCUCCAAUGUCCAGCGAUGAUGAGGGUUUAAUUUCAUUCCAGGGUAAGAGUCAGAACAGUCUUUUGUGAGUCAGCUUCCAUUACCUUUUCAUAAUUGCAGUAAUGGGGCAGUGUUAUGUCAUUUAUUUUUAUUAAAGAGGUUUCAAGUUCUGGAUACUGAUGGCCUAGCCUCAGGAUACUGCCAAUAUCAUAUUGUGGGGUCCAAUUCUCAGCACUCCAACUGAUCAGCUGGUUGAAGGGGCCACACCUCUUCAUUGUUUGCCUUGGUCUACUUGCAAUCCAUCUCCAGGGUGGAACAGCUUGGUCUCCUGCUUUAGAAACCUGCACCAUUACUAGGUAGGUGUGCAGGUAGACAGUUCCGGUGCAUCUGACACACAAGGGCUGUGGUCCCUUCAAUCAGCUGAUCAGUGGAGAUGCCAAGAGUCGGACACCCCUCCACCACAAACUGAUGUUGAUUGCCUAUCCCAAGGAAAAGUGAUAAAAAUUACAAAAAAUAAAAAUGUAGGAGGAGAUUUAUCAAAACUGGUGUAAAGGAAAACUGGUGUAGUUGCCCAUAGCAACCAAUGAGAUUCCACCUUUCAUUUUUCACGGGUCCAUUGGAAAAUGAAAGGUGAAAUCUGAUUGGUUGCUACGGGCACCUAAGCCAGUUUUCCUUUACACCAAUAUGAUAAAUCUCCCCCAUAGUUACUAUAUUAGUACAAGACAAUUAAUGUGUG